rnacentral:rRNA from 1 species
GAUGAACGCUGGCGGCGUGCCUAACACAUGCAAGUCGAGCGAACGGACGCGAACGUUGCUCCUCUGAUGUUAGCCGCGGACGUGAGAGAAACACGCGUACACCCUCCCUAUAAGACUGGGAUCACUAGGGGAAACCGUAGCUAAUACCGUAUAAUAUUUUGAACCGUAUGGGUCAAAGGUGAACGACGGCCUUGCUGUCACUUCUAGAUGGAUCGGCGCUGCAUUAGCUAGUUGGUAAGGUAACGGCUUACCAAGGCAACGAUGCGUAGCCGACCUGAGAGGAUGAUCAGCCACACUGGGACUGAGACACGGCCCAGACUCCUACGGGAGGCAGCAGUAGGGAAUCUUGCGCAAUGGGCGAAAGCCUGACGGAGCAACGCCGCGUGAAGGAUGAAGGUCUUCGGGUCGUAAAACGCUGUUAUAAGGGACGAAAAUAUGUGUAAGAAUCUAGGCACGUCAUGACGGUACCUAAACAAAAAGCCACGGCUAACUACGUG